UACGUAGGGGACGAGCGUUGUCCGGAAUUACUGGGCGUAAAGGGCGCGCAGGCUGUAGAUCAAGUCAGCUGUGAAAUGUCUGGGCUUAACCCGGGCAUGCGGUUGAAACUGAUGUGCUGGAGUGCUGUAGAGGCAAGUGGAAUUCCCAGUGUAGCGGUGAAAUGCGUAGAUAUUGGGAAGAACACCGGUGGCGAAGGCGACUUGCUGGGCAGCAACUGACGCUGAGGCGCGAAAGCCAGGGGAGCAAACGGGAUUA
rnacentral:rRNA from 1 species